UACGGAGGGGGCUAGCGUUGUUCGGAAUUACUGGGCGUAAAGCGCACGUAGGCGGCUUUGCAAGUUAGAGGUGAAAGCCCGGGGCUCAACUCCGGAAUUGCCUUUAAAACUGCAUCGCUAGAAUUGUGGAGAGGUAAGUGGAAUUCCGAGUGUAGAGGUGAAAUGCGUAGAUAUGUGGAGGAACACCGAUGGCGAAGGCAGCCCCCUGGGUUAACACUGACGCUCAUGCACGAAAGCGUGGGGAGCAAACAGG
rnacentral:rRNA from 1 species